UACGUAGGGUGCGAGCGUUAAUCGGAAUUACUGGGCGUAAAGCGUGCGCAGGCGGUUCGCCGUGUCCGAUGUGAAAGCCCCGGGCUUAACCUGGGAAUGGCAUUGGAAACUGGCGGGCUUGAGUGUGGCAGAGGGGGGUGGAAUUCCACGUGUAGCAGUGAAAUGCGUAGAGAUGUGGAGGAACACCGAUGGCGAAGGCAGCCCCCUGGGCCAACACUGACGCUCAGGCACGAAAGCGUGGGGAGCAAACAGG
rnacentral:rRNA from 1 species